GACGGCAUCUGAAGACAAUUUUUGGCUCCCUGUGGCUACAGUCGCCAUCUUGGAAGUGAAAACCUCCCAUCCCCUCCCCCCAUGAACAAUUAUUAUUCUAUGCGUGUUCAUACUCGAAUCAUUUGGGGGAACGGACGGCAUUUGUGGACAGUUUUGGGCUGCCUGUGGCUACAGUCGCCAUCUUGGAAGUGAAAACCUCCCAUCCCCUCCCCCCAUGAACAAUUAUUAUUCAAUGCGUGUUCACACUCGACUCAUUUGGGCGAACGGACGGCAUUUGUGGACAGUUUUGGGCUCCCUGUUGAAAUCAGUGUAGUGUGGCUCGCGGCCGCGGCACGUCUUCAUUUAGCGACAUUUUCCGAUGAUCACGACCUACACCUACCAACAGAUAACAGACAGGUUUUUUUAAAGUAAAGUUUGCAUGGAAUAGGCAAAAAAUAUACAAAGCUUCUAAGCUGAGUUUUGUCUUUGCCCUAUGUCAUAUUAGAGAUAUUCAGCUGCAAUCUUGAAAUAUAAUGAAAAAUAAUCACAAAAGAAAUUGAAGUAAACACCAAAAACUGAAGUUUCUUCUGAAGCACAAAAACCAGCAAAUAAAAGAACUCAUGGCCAGGGUAAGGAAAAAAUAAUAAGUCCUUCAAAGGUGUGGUCAUGUGGAAGCGAACUACAGCAAGCUGCAAGAUUAUGUACAGCAUACAUAACAUCAUUGAAAUGAGCAAUCACAAAAUCUCCUUGCCAGGAUUGGAAACUAUGAACAUUUGAUCUGUAAAAAAAAGACAUUGCAUGGUGAUGGUCUAGGAGAUAAAUUAUAUCAAACCCAAGACUAAUCAUGUGAGAGAAAAACUUCAAAGUCCUUCAAACAAGAGCGUAGCCAUGUGGAAGUUAACUACAGCAAGCUGAAACAUUGCUGGAAAAAAGAGAUUGAGAAAUGAUGUCUUUAAUGUAUAAACAAUGAUAAACAAGGGUGUUACAUUAUCAGUCAAAGUGAUAGUAAAGAUACUUUAGAUCCUAGAAAUUCUGCAUCAUCUCCAUUCCGCAAGCUAAACUACUAUUUAGAAUGCUGUGCCAACUGCAAAAUUAUGUACAGCAUGUAACACUGUUUUUAUUGGCAAUCAUAGACAAGUUAUAAAUCAACAAUCACAAAAACUCCUUGAUUGGAAGCUAUGAACAUUCGAUUUGUAAAAAUAUGACAUUGCAUGGUUUAGGCAGAAGUGAAAACUUUAGGGUUCAUUCUCGGGCCCUGGGUCUUCCCCUCAUAUCCCCCUUUCCCCUGGGGGUAGGGGAGGGUGGGACCCUGGGAAUGAGGAUGGGACGGCUUUGGGUUUUCCCGAAGACAACUUCAAGCUGACCACAGGUAGCCCAAGCAUAUGGUUUGUGCGAAAUAACAAAGAGAAUGGUAUAUGGAAAACGAAAUAUAUCCAUCCAGAAGACAAUU